CUACGGGCUGCAGCAGUGGGGAAUAUUGGACAAUGGGGGAAACCCUGAUCCAGCAAUGCCGCGUGUGUGAAGAAGGCCUGCGGGUUGUAAAGCACUUUCGGUUGGGAGGACUGCUUCUAGCACUAAUAUUGUUGGAAGUUGACGUUACCUUCAGAAGAAGCACCGGCUACUCCGUGCCAGCAGCCGUGGUAAUACGGAGGGUGCAAGCGUUAAUCGGAAUUACUGGGCGUAAAGCGCGCGUAGGCGGCUAGAUCAGUCGGGUGUGAAAGCCCCGGGCUUAACCUGGGAACUGCAUCCGAUACUGUCUAGCUUGAGUACAGGAGAGGAGAGUGGAAUUCCACAUGUAGCGGUGAAAUGCGUAGAUAUGUGGAGGAACACCAAUGGCGAAGGCAGCUCUCUGGCCUGAUACUGACGCUGAGGUGCGAAAGCGUGGGGAGCAAACAGGAUUAGAUACCCCCGUAGUC
rnacentral:rRNA from 1 species